rnacentral:vault_RNA from 1 species
GGGUCGGCUUUAGCUCAAGCGGUUACUUCGCACAGUGUCUGUCACACUUCAAUCCCUCUACGGGGGUUCGAGACCCGCGGGCGCUUUCUGACCCUUUU